CAGUUCAGAUUGCAGGCUGCAACUCGCCUGCAUGAAGUUGGAAUUGCUAGUAAUCGCGAAUCAGAAUGUCGCGGUGAAUACGUUCCCGGGUCUUGUACACACCGCCCGUCACACCAUGGGAGUUGGGAAUGCCCGAAGCCGGUGACCUAACCGAAAGGGAGGAGCCGUCGAAGGCAGGCUUGAUAACUGGGGUGAAGUCGUAACAAGGUAGC
rnacentral:rRNA from 1 species